rnacentral:rRNA from 1 species
GAUCCGGCUCAGGAUGAACGCUAGCGACAGGCCUAACACAUGCAAGUCGAGGGGCAGCGGGGAGGUAGCAAUACCUUUGCCGGCGACCGGCGCACGGGUGAGUAACACGUAUGCAAUCCACCUGUAACAGGGGGAUAACCCGGAGAAAUCCGGACUAAUACCCCAUGAUAUGGGCUCUCCGCAUGGGGGGUCCAUUAAAGAGAGCAAUCUUGGUUACAGACGAGCAUGCGCUCCAUUAGCCAG